CAACGCCGCGUGGAGGAAUGAAGUAUCUCGGUACGUAAACUCCUUUCGAUAGGGAAGAUAAUGACGGUACCUAUUAGAAGAAAGCCCCGGCUAAACUUCCGUGC
rnacentral:rRNA from 1 species